AGUGAACGCUGGCGGUAGGCCUAACACAUGCAAGUCGAACGGCAGCACAGUAAGAGCUUGCUCUUACGGGUGGCGAGUGGCGGACGGGUGAGGAAUACAUCGGAAUCUACUUUUUCGUGGGUGAUAACGUAGGGAAACUUACGCUAAUACCGCAUACGACCUACGGGGGUAAGCAGGGGAUCUUCUGACCUUGUGCGAUUGUAUGAGCCGAUGUCGGAUUAGCUAGUUGGCGGGGUAAAGGCCCACCAAGGCGACGAUCCGUAGCUGGUCUGAGAGGAUGGUCAGCCACACUGGAACUGAGACACGGUCCAGACUCCUACGGGAGGCAGCAGUGGGGAAUAUUGGACAAUGGGCGCAAGCCUGAUCCAGCCAUACCGCGUGGGGGAAGAAGGCCUUCGGGUUGUAAAGCCCUUUUGUUGGGAAAGAAAAGCAGCAGGUUAAUACCCCGCUGUUCUGACGGUACCCAAAGAAUAAGCACCGGCUAACUUCGUG
rnacentral:rRNA from 1 species